GAUGAAGAACGCAGCGAAAUGCGAUACUUGGUGUGAAUUGCAGAAUCCCGUGAACCAUCGAGUCUUUGAACGCAAGUUGCGCCCGAAGCCAUUAGGCCGAGGGCACGCCUGCCUGGGCGUCACACGUCGUUGCCCCCCCCAUCUACUCCUUCGGGAUUGCGGGGGGCGGAUGAUGGCCUCCCGUGCGCCUCGCCGCGCGGUUGGCAUAAAUGCCAAGUCCUCGGCGACGCACGCCACGACAAUCGGUGGUUGCGAAACCUCGGUUGCCCGUCGUGUGCGGUCGUCGCGCAUCGAGGGCUCGAAAAAAUUGCCGAGUUCCGGCUCGGCUUUCGACGCGACCCCAGGUCAGGCGGGGUUACCCGCUGAAUUUAAGCAUAUCAAUAAGCGGAGGA
rnacentral:misc_RNA from 1 species